ensembl:lncRNA
GAAUAUUAAACAGCUGGAGAGCUGAGCAGUGAAGGGCAGCCCAGAGGAAACCUGCCUUUAGCAUCUGAUUAUUUUAAUUUGGGAGGAAGGUUGCAUUUAUUCCUAAUUGACCGGAGAGGAUCGGCUUUCCUUCCUCCCUGCUCCCCCCUCCCACUCCCCUCCCCAGCAGUCUCUGGGAAGGUGUGCAGAGCAGCUGUCAGACCACAGAAACCGGAUUCCUCUGCAUCAAGGAAGCCCUUGUUAUUUGCAAAAUUUGAUUAGCUCUUUACCUUUAUUAUUGCCCUUCAACCCAUGGGCAUUUCAGGUGAGCAAAGAACUGGCCUGAAAGGAGGAGCAGAGCCAAGGGUAGCCCUUGCUGCCUCUCCUCUCUCCAGCCUUCUCCCUUUCAAAGUGACAGAUAUAAUUGGGGGCAUGAAUAAUUAUGACACCGAAACAGGCCUCCACCAGAGAUGUCGGGUGGUGGGCAGAAUACUGAGUGAAGGGAACAUGAAAGCACUAGGUCAGGACCUGCUUGUUUACCUGCUGUGUGACUGUGGACAAGUCGUGUUCCGUCUCUGAGCCUUCCCAUUUCCUAGUCUGUGAAAUGCAGAUAUUCAAAAGAUGAUCGCAAAGGAGCCAUCGGGGUUGAAAACCAUAGCUCUUGUCACAAGUGCACUGCUAUGCAGGUAAGGAUCCCAGUGCCACUUCCUCAGAGAGGUCAUCCCAGCCUAUCCAAAGGGUGCUUCUGCCCUGUCAUUCUCUACCACAGCGCUUACCACUGUCUGAAACCAUCUGCCUGAUUUCUGUGCAAUUAUUUUAUUAGCCUACUUGGAUGGAAGCUUUGAGCAAGUCACACAGGCUGUCUCAUUCACUGCUUCCUUUUUGGUAAAGGAUGUAUAUUUAGAACUCUUCAGGAGAGCUGAAUGAAUAUGUCCAGCUAUUUUUCUCCAAGAAGUUUUGUCAGUUUGCAAGCGGUAGACAGAGAGUCUCAGGUCACAGGAGCAAAUGGGUAUUUAGGAGAGACAUCCAGGCCAGUAAGAGAUAAGCAGACAAUCUCCUGAGCCCACAGCCAGGUCCUAUUAAGAAAUGAAAAAAACAGUUGAGGCUUUAUCAGAUGACAGCCCCUCAGAUGGUCCAGCACCAACUACGUUCAUUGUUCCCUCAACUGUGAGCAUCCAUUACUCUCCAUUGCAGGGCUCUGCCUUUUCGGUGAGACGGUUUCAUUCUCACCAUUUCCAUUGCUCUGGGCUCUCCAGAAUAACCAGCUUUCUGAGUGUCCUGAGAUCAGACUCCUCCAAAAAGCAUUUGAGUGGUUUACCUAAUCACUGUCCACUGUAGGAGACUUCUUUGGGGGCAAAAUUGCCCUUGAAACCAGCAUAUGGGGUUCUCCAAGAUGGGAUCGCAUUAGAAAUAUCUGAGCAGCUUUUCCAAAAUGCACUUCCUGGGGACUCAUUGAUAGGUAAUAAGUUAGGCUCUCCAUCUGGUGUUGGAUUAGACAUCUGCUAUUUUGAAAAGUCUCCCCAGGUGAUUGUGUUGUGCACUUCUGGACCAUAGCCACUGUCGUCGAUGGCUGUCUUUGGAACAGGUGCUCAUCCUUGGCCCAGUCGUCUGUGACCAGAGAGGUGGAGUCACAGGGACAAAGCACAGGAAGGGAGUGUGGCACACACUCAGAACUCCAUACAGCCUUUCAAAUCCCCGCCCCUCUUUCUCUCUGUCCAUCCUUCCUUCCCACAUCACUUACGUAUUUCUCUUCCAGGUCAGGAUGUAUAGAUGUUGGAGCAGACUCUAAUAGUUCUCUCUUUCCCCUUUAGAAACACUUACAAGGAUUAAAACAAGUUGGCAUGUGAGAGCUCAAAUGCUCUAAAAGCUGGGAGGGAGCAAACGUGUGUACAUUCCAGAUGGGGUUAGGGAAACAGAGCACAUAAACAGGGCACAUAAACCUGGAUUCCAUUUCAAGAUUAGAACCAGCUUCUUAAAAUAAUAAUCCUUUAUUCUGUCAUCCUUCUCAUUCACAGUACCACCAAAGUAGCAGUAUCUAGAAAGGAAUUUGGUCUUUCCUGGGCCACAUAAGGGGCAGUUCACUGAACUACUUAUAAAAUGUAACAGCUGUUCAUUCCCUUUAUUAUAGAAAAAAGAAAGAGCAGGAGGAAGAGGAGGAGGAGGAGGAGGAGGAAUACAACACUAAAUAGAGACCAAUUCCCAUGGCUGACAGAAGAUCCUUGGGAGAGGAUGGGUUAGCAGGAGUGAGGAAAGCCAGAGUGAAGAGAGGAUGCCUUGAGGGACAUCACACAUCUUAGGAAUAUGAGAACAGAAGCUGUAUAAGUAAAUAUGGUAGACCAGAAAGACAAUAGGAGACUGUUUCAUUGUGACAAUUUCCCAGAUGAAUAAAUUUCCCAUUCAUUUAUCUCAAUAAAUAAAUCCCUAAGUGUUUCAGUCAUUUCACUUAGGUUUUCUGGUACAGAUGACACACCCCUAACUAAUGCUCUAUAGCCAAAUAGAAUGAUGCAGGAGUUAACGGAGUUCAUGUCCCAGCCAUGUGGACAUGUAGAUGUGUGGCCCCUAGGAAGUCAUGAAAGCAUCUUUGAUGCCAUUUAGUUCCUCUUUAAAAUAGAAAUAGUACUGUCAAGCUGAGUUUUAAAUGAGAUAUUUUAUGAGAAAGCCGGGGGUUGUCAAUCAGGCAGGGAGAACCCAUACAAAUUACCAGGGCUGCCAUCUCAGGGGGCCUAGAUCCUGUCUGGGUUGCGUAGUAAUACAAAUGCUGAAUGGAGACCAUUUCCCCACCACUGUCCUUAUUGGGAAAGCCCCUAAUAAAUUUUUUAAACAGGAAGCAGCUAUCAGAAGCCUUGGUAAAAAUAUUUUAUAAAGGACCAUACUAAUAUUGGGGAAUAUUAAAGUACCAGUUAAAUAACUCCAUUGUACAACUUACAAAAGCAGUCACUGGGAUGAAGGGCUCUCAAUGUUCUCAUUAAAUGGAAGGGAGAAGGGAGGAUUUUCUCAGUUCCUUCUGAAACAGUUCUAUCCCACAAACUUCCCAAGCCAUCCCUUUCUGUCUUGCCUAUCCCUGGACCCUUCCUUUGUCUCUGAGCAAAUGCAAGACAAAAGUAGUCAGGAGGCUGCAGAAAGAGAACACUGUAAGCCCUUCCUAGAGUGAAGCAGGCCUUGAUGCAGUGAAGGGAUAAACCUCAGGGUAGACCCCAGAAGAAUGCCACUGACGCCCUGGAAGUCCGAGGUGCCACAUGGAUACAUCUUUCACCCACUCCCCACUUGGCAGGGGGCCUCUCCUUGUGCAAGCCAAGUUUUCCAAAGGCUGGAGGGUGCUUCCCAAAGUCUAGUGCCUCAAGAUACAGGUCUUAGCCAGAUUCAGGGGUGCACAUUUGUAAUCCCAGCUACUCAGGAGGCUGAGGCAGGAGGAUUGCAAGUUCAAGACCAACCUGAGCAACUUAGCAAGACCUCAUCUCAAAAUAAAAGUAAAAGGACUAGCUAGCAUGCACCAUGUCCUGAGUUCAAUUCCCAGCAUCUCCUCCAAAAAGAUACAGGCCUCAGCUUGGCUGGGUGUCUCAGUUCCAGAAAUUUUCAGUUUCUCUCAGAAUUCAACUCAAAUCACCUGCUUGUAGAUUUGAGCUAACAUAGGCAGCCCCUAGUCCCUCUUUCCUGUACCUUCCACCCAUUCUCACCCUCUCACCACGUUAGAGCUAAGUGAAUAUGGUUUUCCAAAUAUAGUUUUGCUGCCAGUGUGUUAGGCCUUCUAAUGAGCCACAGUAAUUGCUUCUCUAUUUUCCAAAAUGAAAAUGAACCUCCGAAGAGCAGCUGGUUCACUGUAAUGUUCUCUUCCCUCCAAUUACAUACUGCAUUCCUCCAAGUCAGUCAAACGCCGGCCUUGACUGCUUCAUCUGUGAGCAGGGCCCGUGGGAGAGGCUGGAGGAAUGUGCUGAUGUCAAGGAAACAGGCCUGGAGCCUUGAAUACUUGGGUAUAUUUAAGGGAACAGGGAAGAAAGAGAAGUAGGAGGAGGAAGAUGGGAAAGAUCUGGUUUUACUUUUGAAUUCUAAGAUGUCCUAGCUUGGGUUGUGCUUUUCAGUGUAUCUGAAAGGAUAACUGAAACUUUAGACAACAGAGCAAAAAUGUCUCUGUCUUCCUCUCUUUUUCAAGAAUCAUGACAAAGCAAUAAAGAAAAGAAUCAAUAACAUAAACCCCAUAGUCUACAGGGGCAGGACACAUCUGUAAUCUGGAGCCCCCAGUGUAUGAAGAUGAGAAAAAUUGAUGAGCCACUUCAUAGAUCUACGAAAAGUCCAGCCCAAGAGGCAGAGGGUAGAAUCAAGUGAAUCAAGCCAUUCUCCCUGGAGAAUAUAGAGGAGUCUAGGGAGUUGGGAAACCAACAUUCUGCAUUAGUCAGAAAUCAGCACAGCACGGAAAAUAACUUCUGUGGUAUUAAGAUAACAAUACCAGGUACCACUUCUGGAGCACCUCAUGGUGCCUGGUCCUCUACAAACAUUCUCUCAUGCAAUGCUCCUAAGAGCAAAACACAUUAUUUUCCAAUUUUAUAGAUGCAAAAACCGAGGCUUAGAGGAACAGUCAUUUGUCCCAGAUGUCAGAGAGUAAGACACUGAACCACACAUUCUUUUUUUUUUCUUCUUAAUAGUACUAGGGAUUGAACUCAGAGACCUCACAUUGAGCUAUACUCCUAGUUCUUUUUAUUUUUUAUGUUGAGACAUGAUCUUGUUAAGAUGCUCACACAGAACUUAAGCUUGCGAUCCUGCUUCCUCAGCCUCCCAAGUAUGGAAGUACAGGUUUACACCACCACUCCCAACAUACACCAAACUAUUCUUAAUUUCAAAGUCCUACCAUGAGCCCCCACCACUUCCUCAGGUCAAUUGGAGCAUGUGAGUCACUUGUACCUAUGUACAGGUGUGGAGCCAGGUUAACAUGAUUGGCAUGGGUUAGUCAGGGGCACUGUUGUCUGGGCUCCUGCUUCACUGUCUGCUCAGCCAUUUUCUCAAGCUGGACUGUGCUUUGGAAAUGUUACAGAAACAAGCAUCACCACCUCCCUCUUGUCACUUUCUGUUGGAGCCCUCCUGCUGGAAUGAGGUACUCCCAAAAGUGGAUCCUUUCAGCUCUGAGGUAGGUGCAGGUCUCUAGAGACUAAGAUUCCAGCAAAUAUACUGGCCAGCAUCCAAGAGGGAAGAAGGUUGAAACAGUUUGGAUUUUAAAUAUCCUCCAAAGACUCAUUCAAGUUCUGCUCACUUGUCUGUGGUGCUACUGAGAAGCAGGAAAUCUUUAGGGGGUGGGGCCUCAUGGGAGGAAGUUAGGUCAUUGGUGUUGUGCCUUUGAAUAGAAUGUUGAGACUCUGGUCUCUUCCUCUCUCUCUCUCUCUGCUUACCAGCCACCAUGAGAUUACCAGAUCUCCUCCACCACAUGCUUCUGUGAUGUGCUGCCCUACCACAGACCCAGAGGAUCAUGGACUGAAAGCUCUGAAACCAUGAGUGAAAAGAAACCAUUCCUCCCUUAAGUUGAUUAUGUCAGGUAUUUUGUCAGAGCAAUGAAGAGCUAAUGCAGAGGAUGUCAAGGAAACUGCUCCUCCCUUCCUACACUCUCCUGUUUGUUACUGCCCAGCACCUGUGCUGUAACAUCCAAAGCAGGCUAUAGAACCCACAACUGUCCAGAUCCCCUCACUGGAGCCACAAAAGUCUGAAUGAAUCUGAGUCACAAAGAACCACAUCCAUUUGAUAUGCAGGUUCAGAAGUGUAAAAUAAAGUGUGCAGUGUCUGUUUGCUAGCCCCUUUCUGAUUUCUGACUUUUUGUUCAAAGAUCAAUCAUAAGAUCCAUGAGAGUCCAUGAAUAAGUGGCUGGCCACUCUGUUAGGCAUGUUGGAGAUCAAGCGUAUUGUGUCUGCCCUCAAGAAUCCAUAACCAGUCAGAGCACUCUGGCAACCACAUCUGAAAAGAGAAGGAAAGACCCCAGGCUGUGUGCAAUUAAGAGCCACUGGAAAGGUGUUCUGAGAUGUACCAUAGUUGUCCUCAGUGAUCUCCCUAAUGCUUCCACUAAGUUGUGAAUUCUUUAAAGGUUUUUGUUUUUUUUAUUUUUGGACUUCAGUGCAUAGCAGUGAGAGGGGCAUGUGCCAACUGCUCAUAAGCAUCUUUUGAAUGAAUGAAUGAGUGAGGGGACAAAUGAACAAGUGAAGGAAUGAAUAUGUUCCAAGGAAGGAAUACUGCAGAGAGCAGAGAGCUGGAGUGGUGAGGUAGUGCAUCCAGGAGGAAACAGGACUACAGCCAAACAGGGAGUUGUCAUCCAGUGACUCUGUAGACCUGAAAGAAUCUUCCAAAGGUCAAGAUGGUCUCUAGAAAGGGACUAACCUGGGACUGAGCAUGGAAGUCAGGAAGUCGGGCUUGUGAUAAACUUUGGUGAGACGGAUGGAGAUGAAUGGAUGUCAUGGGAACACCCAGCUAAGCCAUUCCAGGAGAGACUAAGCAGAGCAGUGAUGACCGUGAUUGUUAAUGUGAAACAGAAAACAGGAGAAAAAACAAGACUCUAUGUUAAAGAUGGAGCGGGAAUCAUGGCUUCUGACUAAAGGAGAACAACAAGUAGGAUGACAACGGCAACAACAACAACAACACAAGAUUUAAGUGAGCUAUCAAAGGGUCUGUUUCAACCAAGAACUCGAAAGAGAGGGCCAACCACACCUGCAAUUCCAACUACUUAAGAGGCUGAAGUGGGUGGAUCACAAGCUCCAGGGUAGUCUGGAUAACUUGGCAAGAUCUUGUUUGAAAAUAGAAAACACAGUGGGCUGAGGAUAUAGCUCAGUAGCCCCUGGGCUCAAUCUCCUUUACUGGAGAGAGAGAGGGAGAGGAGAAGAGAGGAGGAGAGGAAGAGAGAAGAAGAAAGGGAGAGAGGGAGAGGGAGGGAGAGAGAGAGAGAGGAGGAAUUUUUUCCCUCUCCACUAUAAGAUGUAACACGGUAACAGAGACCUUGGCUCCAGGGAGGUGGGCCAUUCUCUAAUGAAACUUCUAGCCAAGAAUUCACCUGGAUGGUUGGCUUUGUUUUAAGAAAGUUACAAAACCAAGAUUGACGAGAAGGCUCAUAAUAAACUCAAGUCCGAGGCUCUGAGUCAACCAGGGCACUCCAUCAAGAUGCCUUAGUGAGGUUAGAAAAAGAGAAUACUGCAUAUAUUUCCUAAAGUCUGGAAAUGAAAUUUUUCCCCAAUUACUUUCAUAGUGGUCUGGAUUUCACUUUCUCUCCCGGCCCUUUUCCCAUUUUGGUAGUAAAAGUUGCUUAGAUCAGCAGAAAGGUUAAUACAUCAGCAAUUCUGUUAGUGUGUGUAUUGAUUCUCAAGGGGCCAGCACAGAACCUCAAAGGUGAGUCAAAGUGGAAAACGCACGUAGCCAAUAUCCCACUAGCUGUAUUUAUGAGCCAUUUAGAGUGUCCCAGGAGAAAUGCACUUUAAAAUCUAUCAAAGCUUUGGAGUUUUCUCUUCUUUCCAAGGAGAUGCCAGCAAUUAUUUAUUUUACAAAUUUCUGUUAGGUCUGAAUGCUUCCCAUGAAUGGUACCUGAAAGGAAAAUGGUGAUUGUUCUCCCAAUAAAUGAGGAAGGCCCAGGGGUCAAGGGAGAGGAAAUCUAUGAUCCAUCAUUCUAAUUCUCAGAAUAUGACAUUCCAAGUCAUGCUCUAGCCAAUCAUCUCUACUCAUGUCUACUGAGCUUUUAUCAUUACUUCUAGGCAGCCUCCAUUUAGAGGGCUAAAAUGGUGAAUCUAAUUUCUUUAACAUGUUUUUGUUUUGCUUUUCCUUUUUCUCAUUUCUUCAUUGUUUAGAAUGGUCUCUAAUUUCAAAUAGGCAUCAAGAAAUAGGCCUGCUGUAUAAUGUGCCAACGAAGCCAGGCUAUUUACAGAUGGACCCAAAAAUUUCCAUUGAUUCAUUAAUCCAUUUAUUUAGAAGACGCUUAUGUAAUGCCUGCACCGUGCCAGAUUUUGUUCUGAGGUCUACGGAUAGAGAAAUGUCCUCUAGAAGAGCACAUAGUCCUAAGGGAAAACAGACAAGUAAGCACAAUCAUAGCACAGUGUGUAGGAAGUGCUUAAGAAAAUUACUACCUUUCUUAAGCGUUUGCUUCUUUGGUACAACAUGGGUUCGUGUGUUUUAUCUCUAAUCCUCCCAGGGUUCUGCACUGUGUUUUGUUAUCCCAUUUUCUUAGGAAAUAGAUUGCGAGAUAUUUGGAAUCUUGUUAAGGUUAGGCUACUAUAAAUAUUAGGACCAGGCCCCAAACUCAGGCAUUGUGGGC